GAGAGACAAAGAAGGAGAAAACUGGAAAACUCCUGGAAUGUAAGAUAGAUGAAGCCUUCCCAGGAGCUCAAGGGUAAAAUGAAAGCCUUGCAGGAAUAUUUCCAAAAAUUACAGGAGUGCAGACAGAAGGAGCAUCAGCUUCUCAGAGCAGACCUGGAGAUGAACCAAGGAAAGGAAGAGGAGGAAAUUUCAAGGGCCCUGGUAUCCAGCAUGACUUUGAAAUUCCAGCAGCUCUUUCAAAGAAUUGAAAGUUUGGAAGAGGAUUUACAGGAAUUGCUGAAGUCAUCACAGCAUGAGUUUCAGCUUCUCAGAGCAGGGCAGAAGUAACAAGGCAUGGUUGUAGGAAGGUGCAUAAGAAGACGAGUGGUGCAAUACAAACACACAGACAACUUCUGCAUGGAUGAAAUCUUGAUCACUGAGCAAAAUGGCAGUCUGGAAUCAAUUCACGAGUUUUUGGAGAAAUCAUUAUAAUGUGUUGUCUCUAUCGCUUUAUUUCAUACUUCUGGUUGUGGUU
rnacentral:lncRNA from 1 species